GGGCGGGGUGCUAUAAUGCAGUCGAGCGGACAGAUGGGAGCUUGCUCCCUGAAGUCAGCGGCGGACGGGUGAGUAACACGUGGGCAACCUGCCUGUAAGACUGGGAUAACUUCGGGAAACCGGAGCUAAUACCGGAUAACACCGAGGACCUCAUGGUCCUUGGUUGAAAGAUGGCUUCGGCUAUCACUUACAGAUGGGCCCGCGGCGCAUUAGCUAGUUGGUGAGGUAACGGCUCACCAAGGCGACGAUGCGUAGCCGACCUGAGAGGGUGAUCGGCCACACUGGGACUGAGACACGGCCCAGACUCCUACGGGAGGCAGCAGUAGGGAAUCUUCCGCAAUGGACGAAAGUCUGACGGAGCAACGCCGCGUGAGCGAUGAAGGCCUUCGGGUCGUAAAGCUCUGUUGUUAGGGAAGAACAAGUACCGUUCGAAUAGGGCGGUACCUUGACGGUACCUAACCAGAAAGCCACGGCUAACUACGUGCCAGCAGCCGCGGUAAUACGUAGGUGGCAAGCGUUGUCCGGAAUUAUUGGGCGUAAAGCGCGCGCAGGCGGUUCCUUAAGUCUGAUGUGAAAGCCCACGGCUCAACCGUGGAGGGUCAUUGGAAACUGGGGAACUUGAGUGCAGAAGAGGAAAGCGGAAUUCCACGUGUAGCGGUGAAAUGCGUAGAGAUGUGGAGGAACACCAGUGGCGAAGGCGGCUUUCUGGUCUGUAACUGACGCUGAGGCGCGAAAGCGUGGGGAGCAAACAGGAUUAGAUACCCUGGUAGUCCACGCCGUAAACGAUGAGUGCUAAGUGUUAGGGGGUUUCCGCCCCUUAGUGCUGCAGCUAACGCAUUAAGCACUCCGCCUGGGGAGUACGGCCGCAAGGCUGAAACUCAAAGGAAUUGACGGGGGCCCGCACAAGCGGUGGA
rnacentral:rRNA from 1 species